rnacentral:rRNA from 1 species
UGCGUAGGCGGUUUUUUAAGUUCAAGGUUUAAAUCCAAAGCUCAACUUUGGAACGCUUUGAAAACUGGGAGACUAGAGAUAGGUAGAGGCAAGUGGAAUUCCAUGUGUAGCGGUAAAAUGCGUAAAUAUAUGGAGGAACACCAGUGGCGAAGGCGGCUUGCUGGGCCUAAACUGACGCUGAGGCACGAAAGCGUGGGGAGCAAACAGGA